GCGUGCGUCAGAUGGCAGCACAUGAACAUGAAAGAGGCGGAUUAGCGCUUUUGCUGCAAGACAGGCCGCGUCCUGCGUAGAUACAUCGCGGAGCCUUCCCGCCACUUGGACCAUGUCUGCUAAGCUGGCGAGUGCGUAUUUGGACCCCGCUUGCUCACGGCUAUGUUGCGACCAAGAACGGGGGGCUCAAAAAUUGCGGACGCAGCUUCGUUACCCCAGAUGUAAGCGACUGGUGUUUUGUAACGCCAGCAUCUGUCGGAAGCUGCAUACGAGUUUGGCAUGUUCGGGAGCACACGUCUCUACAACGGCUAAUGACGCGUGGCUGAACGGCGACCGGUUUAAUGUGUACAAUGUCCAACUCACCGGCAAGGUAAUGGAAAGAAUGGCAAAGCUGCAGCAAGCCCUCGAAAGAGACGCACUGGACGUCGCCGUAGGUCGUCUGCUGUCCUGCUGCCGUGCGAAAAUUUGACGACCAGUUUGUCUGCUGCUGUACAUGAACGAAGUCCACCAUGUCACCAUGCCUCCGUACCAAAUUACCAAUCGGCAAGAAGAAAUAAUAAAUUUCAUGGAAAGGAACCCCCAGCUUGCUAGUAGGUCGGGGGAAUUUGAUGGGAAUUUCUGGGCCGCGAAAAGGAAAGAUUUGUGGACGGAACUGGCGGCCCUGCUGAAUUAAGGGCUGCCAGUCCAGACAGAGCGCGAUUGAAGGCUGCGGUGGGCGAAGUUCGUGUAUAAAUGCAGGUGUGACGCCGGCAAGUUUUCGGGAGAGCAGAGGCGAGUGAAAAACCAACCGACGGUGGCCGGCUCGGUGGCGUCCGAGGCCGCGUCUUGCACUGCCUUGGAGGUAUCAGCAGCGUGGGUCUGGGAGACCCUUUCAUCAAGCGCAUCUGAUGACAGCGAAACAUCAGUCAGCCGGCAGGACCAGGGAAGGAGUACCGAACCGCAGCCGGGCACUAUUCGGUGAACAGGCAUGUCCUGUGCCACGGUACCUGCCUACAAAGGAGAUCGAGGCGAGGUUACACUGUGCGAGGUCCAAAGCUGGUGGCGAAAUUUGAAGCACACGUACCGAAGAGAACUGAGAACUGAAAGAACUGAAGGAUGAGACAAGCAGUGGCCCUGGCUGCAAAUCCACAUCGCGACGAUGGCCCUACAUGGAGCGCCUGCGAUUCAUGUCGUACUUGAUGGAACCACGCAAGAGCCACAGCAAUAUGUACACGGAAGUGGAAGUACACGAACUACCCGAAGUUGACGCACCGGCAAGUGACUGCUAGCCGGAAGAGCCAGAAGGCGACUGCGAGCCAGGAGGCGAUGACCAGCCAUGAAGCAAGCGAGGAAGAAAGACCUCGGACGACAGGCAUUCCACACCACCUUUGUUUGAGGAUAUUUAUAGCUUUCCGGAAUGCCCUCCCGACACGCCUGGACCCUCUGACACUUCAGCCGCCGAGCCACAGGGGCACGGUAUUAAAAGGAAAAGAGGAGUAACAGACAUGGAGGUAGUCCAUGCCCUGGAGCUGUGAAGACAGCAUUAGCAGCAUUUAAGCCAUUGACAUCUGCAGGCUACUUUCUACUCUCACUAGAGGAAGCGGUGAAUGAACCCCCUAAACAUAUGCAGCCAUACCUACGACAAGAACUGCUGAAUGUGGUGUCAUCAUAUAGUCGUGGGGUGUUCCCUCACCUGAUUGUGCGGCAACCAGACAAACGCUGGCAUGUUCGAAGAUGGAUCAUAAGAUGAAUAAAAAUACUUUGCUCAAGGGUCACUAAAGAGAAACUCUCAGUGUAGACCCAACGAAUUGGAAACUUCAUUUUCACUAAUUUUGCGGUAGUAGUUGUUAUUCAAUGAGAAAAAAAGCAAAUAUUCAG